GGAGAGAUGGCAGAGCGGUCGAACGCGCUACCUUGGAAAGGUAGUAUGCGCGCAAGCGUAUCGGGGGUUCGAAUCCCCCUCUCUCCG
rnacentral:tRNA from 1 species